rnacentral:rRNA from 1 species
UACGUAGGGUGCAAGCGUUGUCCGGAAUUAUUGGGCGUAAAGGGCUCGUAGGCGGUCCAUCGCGUCGGGAGUGAAAAGCUGGGGCUUAACCCCAGUCCUGCUUCCGAUACGGGUGGACUAGAGGUAGGUAGGGGAGAUCGGAAUUCCUGGUGUAGCGGUGAAAUGCGCAGAUAUCAGGAAGAACACCGGUGGCGAAGGCGGCUCUCUGGGCCUUACCUGACGCUGAGGAGCGAAAGCGUGGGGAGCGAACAGG